rnacentral:pre_miRNA from 13 species
AGAGUCGAAUGCAGCCAAGGAUGACUUGCCGGCAUUUCCUCCUAAGUAGCGAGCCCGGCAAGGCUUCUAUUUGGCACGCCCGGCCGGCGGGUUGUCCUUGGCUAUAUUUGGUUCCCU